UCUAUAAGCCCGUGAUCUGAAACAACCGGAAGCCCGUGAAGUCAAGUACACAAAGAGUGCAUACGUCAUUUUUACUUUCGCUUUUAAUAGUGCAGCCGCUCUACCGCAUAUCGACUUGCUUAUCAUUUAUUUAAAAGUGAGAAGUCGAUGUAUAAUAUCUUACAUGACAGAAUCAGUAGCAGGGUUUAAAUAAGAAAACAGAGACGAAAAGUGUAUUCGGGGUUGGCUUUUGUCAGAAGAAAUCCUUCAGCAAAUCAUUGAAGCACAGAUAUACAAAUUUAUUUAUUCCAGAUAAUUUCCCUUAAAUCAUGUCUUGAUGAAGAAGGCCAUAUAUCUUGGUACGCUGCUGAUGGUGUUUGAGAACUAGAAUACCAAUAGUAGAAGAGGCAGAGAAAAGGUGUCAACGAACAAACGAAAACGCAUUAUUAUGAAGAAGACUAAAAGAAAACAAAACUGUUGAAAUGUAUACAUAUAUUGCACGCUGAUAUUACUGUAACAGUACAAUAUCUGCAAUGUUGAUGUCAAAUUUGAUGCAUUGCUGAUGCAUUUAGUUACAAUAAACAAGACUGUUUAA